CCUAUUAUUUAAGAGCUUAACAUUGUAAGUAAAUAAUAAUUAUGAAAGCAAAAAAUUAUGGCGGUAUUUUAAGCUUUUCAGAGGAAUUUGCUCUUUAAUGGAUAAAACACCAAAAUCUUACUUAGAUUUGUGAUUUCAAUUUGUAUACCACUAUUAAAACAAUUUAUAACUUUAAUUGUUUAAAUUUACAAAACUAAAAUAUAUUAAGUCAAGGUGCAGUAAAAAUUUAAGGAUGAAGUGAAUUACAUUACUUUUUAGUGAGAUAAGUUUAUAACAAUAUUUAGGAUUUGAAAGUAAAAUAAAAUAGGAUGUUAAUU
rnacentral:rRNA from 1 species